CACUCCUACGGGAGGCAGCAGUGGGGAAUAUUGCACAAUGGGCGCAAGCCUGAUGCAGCCAUGCCGCGUGUAUGAAGAAGGCCUUCGGGUUGUAAAGUACUUUCAGCGGGGAGGAAGGCGAUAAGGUUAAUAACCUUGUCGAUUGACGUUACCCGCAGAAGAAGCACCGGCUAACUCCGUGCCAGCAGCCGCGGUAAUACGGAGGGUGCAAGCGUUAAUCGGAAUUACUGGGCGUAAAGCGCACGCAGGCGGUCUGUCAAGUCGGAUGUGAAAUCCCCGGGCUCAACCUGGGAACUGCAUUCGAAACUGGCAGGCUAGAGUCUUUUAGAGGGGGGUAGAAUUCCAGGUGUAGCGGUGAAAUGCGUAGAGAUCUGGAGGAAUACCGGUGGCGAAGGCGGCCCCCUGGACAAAGACUGACGCUCAGGUGCGAAAGCGUGGGGAGCAAACAGGAUUAGAAACCCUAGUAGUCCCAU
rnacentral:rRNA from 1 species